ACGGGUGAGUGACACGUAGGUAACCUGCCUAUGAGACUGGGAUAACUAUCGGAAACGAUAGCUAAGACCGGAUAACUGGUUUUCUCGCAUGAGAGAAUCAUGAAACACGGAGCAAUCUGUGGCUUAUAGAUGGGCCUGCGGCGCAUUAGCUAGUUGGUAGGGUAACGGCCUACCAAGGCGACGAUGCGUAGCCGACCUGAGAGGGUGAACGGCCACACUGGGACUGAGACACGGCCCAGACUCCUACGGGAGGCAGCAGUAGGGAAUCUUCCGCAAUGGACGCAAGUCUGACGGAGCAACGCCGCGUGAGUGAUGAAGGUUUUCGGAUCGUAAAGCUCUGUUGCCCUAGACGAACAGCAAGGAGAGUAACUGCUCUUUGUGUGACGGUAUAGGAGAAGAAAGCCCCGGCUAACUACGUGCCAGCAGCCGCGGUAAUACGUAGGGGGCAAGCGUUGUCCGGAAUUAUUGGGCGUAAAGCGCGCGCAGGCGGUUAAUUAAGUUGGGUGUUUAAGCCCGGGGCUCAACCCCGGUUCGCAUCCAAAACUGGUUGACUUGAGUGUAGGAGAGGAAAGUGGAAUUCCACGUGUA
rnacentral:rRNA from 1 species